rnacentral:rRNA from 1 species
ACGCUCGACACCUACGGGAGGCAGCAGUGGGGAAUAUUGCACAAUGGGGGAAACCCUGAUGCAGCGACGCCGCGUGAGCGAAGAAGUAUUUCGGUAUGUAAAGCUCUAUCAGCAGGGAAGAAAGUGACGGUACCUGACUAAGAAGCCCCGGCUAACUACGUGCCCGCAGCCGCGGUAAUCUGAGCGGGCUGGCAAGGC